CAGGCCUAACACAUGCAAGUCGAACGCCCCGCAAGGGGAGUGGCAGACGGGUGAGUAACACGUGGGAACGUACCCUUUGGUUCGGAACAACCCUGGGAAACUAGGGCUAAUACCGGAUACGCGCGAGAGCGGAAAGGUUUACCGCCGAAGGAUCGGCCCGCGUCUGAUUAGCUAGUUGGUGAGGUAACGGCUCACCAAGGCGACGAUCAGUAGCUGGUCUGAGAGGAUGAUCAGCCACAUUGGGACUGAGACACGGCCCAAACUCCUACGGGAGGCAGCAGUGGGGAAUAUUGGACAAUGGGCGCAAGCCUGAUCCAGCCAUGCCGCGUGAGUGAUGACGGCCCUAGGGUUGUAAAGCUCUUUUACCCGGGAUGAUAAUGACAGUAUCGGGAGAAUAAGCCCCGGCUAACUCGGUGCCAGCAGCCGCGGUAA
rnacentral:rRNA from 1 species